CCUACGGGGGGCAGCAGUGGGGAAUAUUGCACAAUGGGGGAAACCCUGAUGCAGCAACGCCGCGUGAAGGAAGACGGUUUUCGGAUUGUAAACUUCUAUCAAUAGGGAAGAAAGAAAUGACGGUACCUGACCAAGAAGCCCCGGCUAACUACGUGCCAGCAGCCGCGGUAAUACGUAGGGGGCAAGCGUUAUCCGGAAUUACUGGGUGUAAAGGGAGCGUAGACGGUUAAGUAAGUCUGGAGUGAAAGGCCGGGGCCCAACCCCGGGACUGCUAUGGAAACUAUUGAACUUGAGUGCAGGGGAGGUAAGCGGAAUUCCUAGUGUAGCGGUGAAAUGCGUAGAUAUUAGGAGGAACACCAGUGGCGAAGGCGGCUUACUGGACUGUAACUGACGUUGAGGCUCGAAAGCGUGGGGAGCAAACAGGAUUAGAUACCCUUGUAGUC
rnacentral:rRNA from 1 species